CACGUAGGGCGCGAGCGUUGUCCGGAAUUAUUGGGUUUAAAGGGUGCGUAGGCGGCCCUGUAAGUCAGUGGUGAAAUACUGCAGCUUAACUGUAGCAUUGCCAUUGAUACUGUAGGGCUUGAGUACAGAUGAGGUAGGCGGAAUUGAUGGUGUAGCGGUGAAAUGCAUAGAUACCAUCAAGAACACCGAUUGCGAAGGCAGCUUACUAAGCUGUAACUGACGCUGAGGCACGAAAGCGUGGGGAGCAAACAGG
rnacentral:rRNA from 1 species